CAGCCGUAAACUAUGCGCGUUAGGUGUAUCGGUGACCACGAGUCACCGAGGUGCCGAAGGGAAACCGUGAAACGUGCCGCCUGGGAAGUACGGUUGCAAGGCUGAAACUUAAAGGAAUUGGCGGGGAGCACCACAACGGGUGGAGCCUGCGGUUUAAUUGGACUCAACGCCGGGAAGCUCACCGGAUAAGACAGCGGAAUGAUUGCCGGGCUGAAGACUCUGCAUGACUAGCUGAGAGGAGGUGCAUGGCGUAGACGUCU
rnacentral:rRNA from 1 species